rnacentral:rRNA from 1 species
UACGGGGGGAGCAAGCGUUGUUCGGAUUUACUGGGCGUAAAGGGCGCGUAGGCGGUCAGCACAAGUCAGUUGUGAAAUCUCCGGGCUUAACUCGGAAAGGUCAACUGAUACUGUGCGACUAGAGUGCGGAAGGGGCAACUGGAAUUCUCGGUGUAGCGGUGAAAUGCGUAGAUAUCAAGAGGAACACCUGCGGCGAAGGCGGGUUGCUGGGCCGACACUGACGCUGAGGCGCGAAAGUGUGGGGAUCAAACAGG